AUGAACGCUGGCGGCGUGCCUAAUACAUGCACGUCGAGCGAACGGACGAGAAGCUUGCUUCUCUGAUGUUAGCGGCGGACGGGUGAGUAACACGUGGAUAACCUACCUAUAAGGCUGGGAUAACUUCGGGAAACCGGAGCUAAUACCGGAUAAUAUUUUGAACCGCAUGGUUCAAAAGUGAAAGACGGUCUUGCUGUCACUUAUAGAUGGAUCCGCGCUGCAUUAGCUAGUUGGUAAGGUAACGGCCUACCAAGGCAACGAUGCAUAGCCGACCUGAGAGGGUGAUCGGCCACACUGGAACUGAGACACGGUCCAGACUCCUACGGGAGGCAGCAGUAGGGAAUCUUCCGCAAUGGGCGAAAGCCUGACGGAGCAACGCCGCGUGAGUGAUGAAGGUCUUCGGAUCGUAAAACUCUGUUAUUAGGGAAGAACAUAUGUGUAAGUAACUGUGCACAUCUUGACGGUACCUAAUCAGAAAGCCACGGCUAACUACGUG
rnacentral:rRNA from 1 species